GGUGGUGUAGUGGUUUGAGUGUUGGACUAUGACUCAGAAGCCCAGGGUUCGAAUCCAUGCACAACCA